UAGUAAUAAUAUCAUUUUCCUUCUCGAAACUCCUUGGCUUCUCGUUCUCCUUCGUGAGCUCAGCCCCCCUCAAAAAGCGUCACUCUCCGUUGUCUUUUGAAUCUACUCUCUCAAAUCUCACCUCUCUUUACAAGUGCGCCAUCUCUCCCGAUCGUCAUGGCCUCCGACAAGAAGAUCAAGAUUGGAAUCGACGGGUUUGGAAGGAUCGGUCGUUUGGUUGCCAGGGUUGUUCUUCCGAGAAAUGAUGUUGAACUCGUCGCCGUUAACGAUCCCUUCAUCACCACUGACUUCAUGGCAUGCACCUGCGUGAGGGAGAUGGGCCCCUAGAUCAGAUCUGGGUAGUUUUUUUUUCCUGUUUUUAAUUUGUUUUUUAAUUUCUUGAUGAUGAUUUUUCUCUCUUGUUUUUUAUGGAUUAAUGUUUUUCAUUUCUUGUUUUUUCUUGCGUAGAAAAUUAAUUUUAAGUAAAAAUAAAUAUUUUUUAUUUCUAAGUUCAUUGUACCCAUCUAUGUUGGUUCGUUGUUAUUUUUAUUGUUGUUUAUUUCUUGACUUGAUUUGCUUGUUUCUUUUCUUGUUUUGCAUUGGUUUUUACCAUAACGCAUGUGAGGGAGACGGAGUGCAUCCGCGUGAGGGAGACGGGGCCCUAAAACAGAUCUGGAAAUCCUCCCGCGAUACGUGCUGUGCGUUGCCCGCGUGACACCUUCCACCCAGCACCACCGGCGACAAUUUUGUAAAACAAAUAAACCCUCACAGUUUAAUCUCCAAAGGUAACAAAAAACGGGGGGGAAGAAUAGGAACAAAGAUCACCACGGUUCUGUUCUGCCCCACUACUCCAGAAUCCAGUUCAGCUUUUUCAUUGUUCUCAGUACUUUAAAUGGUUUUUUUCGAGAUGUGUAAAAAUUCCUAAUCGCUAAAUUGGAAAUUGGGAUCGGAGAAAAAGUUCAAAACAAAAGAGAUUGAAGGUUAUCUUAUGGGUUGCGCUUACUUUUUGAAGGUCUCUUCGCAAAAAUCAGGGCAAUAAGGCAUAGAGGUACAUGAAACAGGAAUCCUCUCUCUCUCUUUGUGGAAUAUAGUAUCGGAGCUUGAACUCACAAGAUCUGAUGAUCUUCAUUAGUUUUAUAAGUAUUUGUGUUUAUAGUCACCGCCAGAUCUUGAUUCACUUUCACCCAUGGUGAUGAAUCAAGAGAUGCUCUGUAUUCUAUGUUCAUGAUGAUUGAUUAUCCUUUUUCCUUUCAAUUUUCAAUUGAGUGGAUUUUAUUUUUUUUUUGGCUUUUUAUUUUUUCUUUCCCUUCGAAUAAUCAAUUAUAUCACUUUUUUUUAUUCAUUUCGCAUUGACUUCUCAUUAAAACAAAAUAUAUAUAUAUAUAUAUAUAUAUCCUUAUGAUUGAUUAAGUUUGUUGUGGUUAUGUUUAUUUUUUCAAAAUAAUACUACCGGAAUACGAAACAUGGUAUAUGAAAUCCAAUAAGGCCAUGUGCAUUCAUAUGAUUGGCUCGUAUAUUUUUCUCUCUCAACAAUUGGCUUGUAUUUCAUAAUCUUGGUUUCAGCUUUUUUUCAUGUUAGCUUGUUACAAAUUUUACUUAAGCUUUGGGAUCUGUGCAUUUAAGCCUAAAAUCAUCUGCCAAAAAAACAGUAGAAGCAGAAAAAUUAUCUCGAAUCGAGAUCACAUCUCUUACAUUGCCAGAAUAAAUAUAUCGCAAGCAAGCAAUAUCACUAUAUUAACAGCAAAUUAUUACAGAAUGUCUCACUUCACUGUAGAAUAAAGCAAUAGUAAUGUAGUUACAAAAACACACACAGACAAGGAAGAGGAAGAAGAAGAAGAAGAAAGAGAUGAAGAACCUUGCAUUAAGAUCAGCAGCCAGCACAUGCGUGAUAGCAUUAGCCAUCAAACCCCUCCAUCCUCUUGCUCCAUUGGCUCGCCACCGCCGUCAUCUUGCUCCAUUGAGUUACCAUUAAUUUCUUGAGGACU